rnacentral:rRNA from 1 species
GACGAACGCUGGCGGCGUGCUUAACACAUGCAAGUCGAACGGAAAGGCCCUGCUUUUGUGGGGUGCUCGAGUGGCGAACGGGUGAGUAGCACGUGAGUAACCUGCCCUUGACUUUGGGAUAACUUCAGGAAACUGGGGCUAAUACCGGAUAGGAGCUCCUGCUGCAUGGUGGGGGUUGGAAAGUUUCGGCGGUUGGGGAUGGACUCGCGGCUUAUCAGCUUGUUGGUGGGGUAGUGGCUUACCAAGGCUUUGACGGGUAGCCGGCCUGAGAGGGUGACCGGCCAAAUUGGGACUGAGAUGCGGCCCAGACUCCUCCGGGAGGCAGGAGUGGGGAAUAGUGCACAAUGGGCGGAAGCAUGAUGCAGCAAAGCCGCGUGGGGGAUGACGGCCUUCGGGUUGUAAACCGCUUUCGCCUGUGACGAAGCGUGAGUGACGGUAAUGGGUAAAGAAGCACCGGCUAACUACGUG